rnacentral:misc_RNA from 1 species
AAGUCGUAACAAGGUUUCCGUAGGUGAACCUGCGGAAGGAUCAUUACCGAGUGAGGGCCCUCUGGGUCCAACCUCCCACCCGUGUUUAUUUACCUUGUUGCUUCGGCGGGCCCGCCUUAAACUUGGCCGCCGGGGGCUCACGCCCCGGGCCCGCGCCCGCCGAAGACACCCUCGAACUCUGUCUGAAGAUUGUAGUCUGAGUGAAACUAUAAAUUAUUUAAAA